rnacentral:rRNA from 1 species
GACGAACGCUGGCGGCGUGCUUAACACAUGCAAGUCGUACGGAAAGGCCCUGCUUUUGUGGCGUGCUCGAGUGGCGAACGGGUGAGUCACACGUGAGUAACCUGCCCUUGACUGUGGGAUAACUUCAGGAAACUGUGGCUAAUACCGGAUAGGAGCUCCUGAUGCAUGGUGGGGGUUGGAAAGUGUCGGCGGUGGGGGAUGGACUCGCGGCUUAUCAGCUUGUUGGUGGGGUAGUGGCUUACCAAGGCUUUGACGGGUAGCCGGCCGGGGAGGGGGACCGGCCACAUGGGGACGGAGAUACGGCCCAGACUCCUACGGGAGGCAGCGGUGGGGAAUAUUGCACAAGGGGCGGAGGCCGGAUGCAGCAACGCCGCGUGCGGGAGGACGGCCUUCGGUUUGUAAACCGCUUCCGCAGGGGACGAAGCGUGAGUGACGGUAAUGGGUGAAGAAGCACCGGCUAACUACGUG